UACGAAGGGGGCUAGCGUUGCUCGGAAUUACUGGGCGUAAAGCGCACGUAGGCGGCUUGUUAAGUCAGGGGUGAAAUCCUGGAGCUCAACUCCAGAACUGCCUUUGAUACUGGCGAUCUUGAGUCCGGGAGAGGUGAGUGGAACUGCGGGUGUAGAGGUGAAAUUCGUAGAUAUUCGGAAGAACACCAGUGGCGAAGGCGGCUCACUGGCCCGGUACUGACGCUGAGGUGCGAAAGCGUGGGGAGCAAACAGG
rnacentral:rRNA from 1 species